AUACGGAGGGUGCAAGCGUUGUCUGGAUUUAUUGGGUUUAAAGGGUGCGUAGGCGGUUUAUUAAGUCGGAGUUGAAAUCCCACAGCUUAACUGUGGAACUGGCUCCGAUACUGGUUAACUUGAGUAUGGUUGAGGUAGGCGGAAUUUAAGAUGUAGCGGUGAAAUGCAUAGAUAUCUUAAAGAACACCAAUUGCGUAGGCAGCUUACUGGACCAUAACUGACGCUGAGGCACGAAAGCGUGGGUAGCGAACAGGAUUAGAAACCCCAGUAGUCC
rnacentral:rRNA from 1 species